UACGAAGGGUGCAAGCGUUGUCCGGAAUUAUUGGGCGUAAAGAGCUCGUAGGCGGUCUGUCACGUCGGGCGUGAAAACUCAGGGCUCAACCCUGAGCGUGCGUUCGAUACGGGCAGACUAGAGGUAUGCAGGGGAGAACGGAAUUCCUGGUGUAGCGGUGGAAUGCGCAGAUAUCAGGAGGAACACCGGUGGCGAAGGCGGUUCUCUGGGCAUUACCUGACGCUGAGGAGCGAAAGCAUGGGGAGCGAACAGG
rnacentral:rRNA from 1 species